UACGUAGGGGGCAAGCGGUUGUCCGGAUUUAUUGGGCGUAAAGAGCGUGUAGGCGGCCAUACAGGUCAGCUGUGAAAACUCGAGGCUCAACCUCGAGACGUCGGUUGAAACCGUAUGGCUAGAGUCCGGAAGAGGAGAGUGGAAUUCCCGGUGUAGCGGUGAAAUGCGCAGAUAUCGGGAAGAACACCUAUGGCGAAGGCAGCUCUCUGGGACGGUACUGACGCUGAGACGCGAAAGCGUGGGAGCGAACAGG
rnacentral:rRNA from 1 species